rnacentral:miRNA from 1 species
AUACAAAUUACCUGGGCCUUGUUAAAAUACAGACUUGACUUCAGUAGGUUUGAGGUGAGGCCUGAGAUUCUGCAUUUCUAACAGGUUCCCAGGUGACACUCAC